UUGAGAAUAUGGAUAAACACUGACGGACAAUAUGGCGGCCGGAUACAGCGACACGUCAUUCUGUGACGUUGGUGAGUAGGGUCUAUAAACCGCAGGAUUCAAAAUGAAGGAAAAACGUAGCGGCUUAUAGUCCGAAAAUUACGGUAAUUAGAAAUUAGGACUAGUACAUACUGAAUAAUUCAGGACAAUUAGUAGCUAUGUGGAAAAAUAAACAAAUUUUAAAUCAAUAAAUACUAACUCAUCAAAAUAAGUUAAUAAAAUAACAUUUGUCCAAAAUUAAAUAAAAUAAAGUUCUUAAGCUAAAAAAAUGUGUUUAACCACUUGACGAUGAUAGACGUCUAAUCUAAUCAUCCCUCAGCUGUAAAUUAUUUUGUCUCUCGUAGACCUCCAAUUCAUUUGAACUGGGAAGGUUGGUAGCGAUAUUUGUUUCGCUGUUAAUCCUCCCACUUCAUAUGGAUUGGACCUCUGUCGCCGUCAAUGGCUGCCAAUUAAUGAAUGAUUGUUGAGGGCCACAUGUAAAUCAUAGAUUGCAUGCUUGCACCUGUUGAAGCAGAACUCGCAGUAGUCUCCCUUCUGGUUGGCCGCGAGCACGUAGCUGUAAGGCGGGCAGGAGAAGAGCAGCUCCCCGGCCUGGAAGGCUUUGCUAACCCGAAGGCCUCGACCUUUGUCGGGGCUGUCGAACUUCUGCAGCCCGUCGAUAGACAUGUCGACCCGUCCACUCCACUUCUUCUGGUCCAGUAUUGAAGAAAGAGAGGACAACCAUGGCGGCGGAGGCGACUGAGGCCACCUUGUGGUGAAUUUAUAGAAUGCAACAACGCUACAGGAGGCCCCGUCAAAACCAAAAGGGUAUUUGUGGCCGAAACGGCUCGAGUAGAAGCUUUCAGGUGAGUGUCGCCCCUCGCGCCGAGCUUUUGUCGGCCCUCUUUGUAGUCGCCGACAUCUCCUCCGUCUACCCCCGGGGUGGCGCGUUCACCUCCGACCUGGUAUUGUUCCCUCCCCAGAGGCUCUGGAUCACUUAAAUGCAGGUUCUCGUUUCAAGUGGAGGUGCAGGCAGGUAGGGGAGGAACAGAAGGAGGAGGUGUAAGAGAAAGGGGAGCGAUCCACCGAAAAAUGGCCUUGGGGGCAUCCCGAUCCACACAUCCAGUCAUCUCCGUCCAUCUCCACAGUUCCUCUAUGACUCACAGAAAGCCACAACCAAAUAACCCUUUCUGGAUUCUUCACGGAAUGAAAGAAAAAGGCCAGGAAAUAAAAAACAGGAUUGAGAAAAAAAAAAAAAAUCAAAAUGGCCGGACCAAAUGUGGAGGCGGGCCGUAUUUGGGCCGCGGGCCGCAGUUUGGGCACCCGAAGAAAUGCCGCAUCCAAGCGAGUGAGCGAGCGAAGUGAGAGAGGGAAACACUUCUACGAGCCUACGUUCUUUGUUAAUGUUAAUAUCUACAGAGGCAACGCCUGUAUGUAUCAUCUUUUGUGUUGUUGGUGUUGUGUUUCCACUCGCAAUCGGACACUUAAAUCCAGUUGUGUAGUUGUUUGAACGAUGUGCUAAUGCUAGCGAACGAAUGCUAACCAUACUGUUAUUAGCAGCUAAUCAUCGCUGAGUUACAUUGAUGCAAACCUGUUUGUUAUUGGGGACGAAAUUGAUUUGUUUCAUUUCUAUUCUUAGUUUCACUCUUCAAGUGAU